rnacentral:lncRNA from 1 species
GGCCAGAUGGCAUACUGGGAUCAAAAUGGCCCACUGGGAUCAACCAUGACCCACACUCCUUUCAGCUACUGGCCAGCGAGAGGCUCGUGUGGGGACAGUUGAGGUUGCUUGGGUCAGUGGUUUAGCUAACGCUGAGGUAGGGUGGGGACUGAGAGGGAAGCCAAGGGAAGUGAGAGUCCACUCCUUCCUGCCUGGCCAAAGGGGUGUGCGAAUGGAGAUCACUUUCAACAGGGCAUGCCCUUUGUGUUCUCUGCACUAGGAAUGGGGCUCCCUUGCCCGGUGCCCCUGGUGAGCAGCAGCGCAGGUCUGUGAGAUAGUGCUGAGGGUAAUGGGGCAGCCUAAGUCAAUGUGGAGGGCAGAUUAGAGCAAAGCUAACUGGCAGUGGGAAGGAGAGCCAGUAAGUCCGGACUCCGCCAUAGGUUCUAACCACUGCCCUAUCCGCCCAGGAAUUGGCCGUGGGAGACAAAUCUCCAGCCCCCCAACCUCCACCCCAAUCUAGCGUCCUUCCCCCUCUCGGCGGGCAGAAGACAACGCCCCCUCGGGGACUACCACCCCACCAGGGCGGGAGCACUCCCUCCUCCUCCCACCCCUCGAUCCAUAAAGCCAGGAGAUGCUACCGCGAAGGGAACCCUGGGAGUGUGCCUUGAAUGACCCCCAAACACAUCUGGAUUUUCGGAGUUCAGGCCAGCCCCCGAAACGGACCCCAGGGAAGUCCGCCAGAGGGAGGGAGCGGGGGAAGGGAGAGGCAGCACGGAGUUCAGGGCCUGUCUUUUAGGACUCCCGGCCCCACGACUAGGACCGUCCCAAACUUCCUGUUUCUUCCGGCCGCUCUGACCCCGGGGCUGCGGCUCCGAGAUAGCUCAGGGCCUGGAAGUGCAUGCUGGGACCAACUACAUAAUCCUUGGUAAGAAAAGGAGGUGGCCCUGACAAGUGCAACUCGAGAAAUGCAAUGCUGUAGAGUCCAAAGGUGUCUGACUUGAACGAAAUGAUCCCACUGGGGGACAAUGCAACAUAUACUCCAGUUCUUUGUUCUUAGACAACUGUUCCUGCAUAGCUUGGCGAGCCUGGAGGAAAGAGUCACAGCAUGAGAGCCCUGUCAUUAGUGACCGCAAUAACACCUUUCCUGGUCCAUUUCAUAAAGCUGCCUCCUCUCAAUUUGACUUGGUAAGCAUAGUGGAAAACAUAUUGGACUUAGAUUCAAACACACCUGAACCUGUAACUUAUGAGCCAGGUGACCUUGGGGGUGAACUGGAACUUACACCUUGCUUCUCCUGUUCUCAGGAGACUUGGACUGGAACUAUACCACCAGCUGUCUCGGAUCUCCGGCUUGCAGACGGCACAUCAUGGGACUUCUCAGUCUCCAUCACUGCAUGAGCCAAUUCCUUAUAAUAAAUCUCUGUCUCUCUCAUUAUACAUAUCUUGGAGAACCCUCAGGAACCUUGACUAAUACACAAGAUAAAUUCAGUUUUAAUUGUAUGUGAGGCAUUGUGGUGGAGAUAUAUACUAGAUACCCACACGCAAGUGGGCAAAGGUCUGGGAUCAAAAUAUCUAUUUGGGAAUCUUCAGCAUAUGGGUGAUAGUUGAAAUCAUAAAAGUGGUUGAACUCUUCUGGGACUCUCAUAUAUUGUAAUAGGAUGAACGGCAGAAAGAACAGAUACAGAUACAUGUAGGUUGGUUAAUCUGAUGGUUGGAAUGUGGACUUCGUAUUCGAUGUACUUGGUGUGUGUGUCUUUGUUUAUAAUGAAGUCAAUUACUCAGUAAUGUGCAUAUAAUAAAUUCCGUAGUGUGUGUGGUUCAGUCACUCUACUAGUUUUUAAAACUGUUCCGCUAAAGCUCUCAGUUGAAAGAACCCAUGGUGGUGUUGUUAUACAUAAAUAUCUUUACUUGAUAGACCUCAUUGACUACAGUCAGGAUUCUGGUAGAUAAAUUGGGCAGAUGAGAUGACCUCCCAACCCUUCUCUGGUGCUUUCUGAAUAAGGCCUGUGUUUGUCUGGCUGUACCAUACAUUUUAUUUUCUCUUUCAUUCAUUUCUAAGCCUCAGCAACAACCCCCUUCUCCAACACCUUGAUAUAAAUUGCCUUCAAACUCUAAUAGAACUUGAGAAUGUUGAUAACCUCAAACUAUGGUAUCCUGAUGUUUCCAUAGUAACUAAUGCACACCAAGGGGGAAAAGAUGCGAGAAUAAAUGAGAAUAGCAUUUUAACAAAAUAAGUGAGGGGCAAAGAGGCUUUAGACAUGUUAUUACCUCUUGUUUAGGAAUAUGAAAAUAUUCAUCUCCUUAAUAAUGGGGUUAUAAAAGUUGCUACAAUGAGACUUGUCAGUAGCCAUUUAUAUUUCAUUUUUCUCUAUAAUCAUCAUCAUCAAAAGCAUUUAAAUGCUUCUCUGCCCAACAAUACUGUAGAGAGUGAGUUAAAUGGACAUAGUUGCCAUUUUCCUGUGAACCUGCAAUCACAAUAGGACAGGGUAGGCCAAUGUCUGUAUUCCAGUCUCCCCAGCAGAGUUUUGACCUAGUGGAUAUUAGGAGGAAUGGGGAUUCAAAGAAGACAAAUCAGUGUUGUGGCAUUUGUUUGCUUUGAUACAAGACUUUACUAGCAUCUCAGCACUUCCUUGGUUAAAGGGUGGGAGAAUAGGGUGCUGCUGUUUCUUCUUUCCUAUUUCAUAAAAAGGAGGCUUUCUGUAAGCCAGGAAGAGAGCACUCUCAAGUAAUCAAAUUGGCUGGCACCUUGAUCUGGGACUUCCAGUCUCCAGAACUCUGAGAAAAUACAUUUGCGUUGUUUAAGCCAGUGAGUCUGUGGUAUUUUGUUAUGGCAGCCUGAGCAGCCUAUACACCGGUCAGUGUACAUGCACAACCGAUUAAGCUAUUGUUAGAUAGGAAUAGAUUUAGUAAGGGUGAAGAGAAGACUUUUUAUUUUAUGUAUUUGUUUGAGACAGAGUCUCUCUGUCAUCCAGGAUGGAGUGCAGUGGUGUGAUCAUGGCUCACAUCAGCCUUGACCUUCCAGGCUCAAGUGAUCCUCCCACCUCAGUCUCCUGAGUAGCUGGGACCACAGGCAUGUGCCACCAUGCCUGGCAAAUUUUUGUAUUCUUUGUAGAGAUGGGGUUUCACCAUGUUGCCCAGGCUGGUCUUGAACUCCCUCUUGCCUUGACCUCCUAAAGUGUUGGGAUUAUAGGUGUGAGCCACCAUGCCCGGCCUAAUAUUUUUAUUUUAGAAUUAGAGAGAUUAGGCCAGGCACAGUGGCUCACGCCUGUAAUCCCAGUACUUUGAGAGGCCGAGGUGGGUGGAUCACUUGAGGUCAGGAGUUCGAGACCAGCCUGACCAACAUGGUGAAACCCUGUCUCUACUAAAAAUACAAAAAUUAGCCAGGUGUGGUGGUACGUGCCUGUAAUCCCAGCUACUCAGGAGGCUGAGGCAGAAGAAUUGCUUGAACCCGGGAGGUGGAGGUUGCAGUGAGCCGAGAUCACGCUAUUGCAUUCCAGCCUGGAUGACAGAGUGAGACUCUGUCUCAAAAAAAAAAAAAAAAAAUUAGAGAGAUUAAAUUUCCACAGAUAAGUGUAAUAACUGGUGGGGUAUCUAUCUAACCCAGAACAGAAACACAGAAAGUAGAGGGACAGAAAGUAUACUGAACAGCUCCAGGUAAGGUAGAUAGCAUGGCUGGGAUUCCGCUUAACCUGAUACUUUCCCCAUUUAGAAGAGAAAGGUUAAAAAGCACAUUCUUCUUCUUUGUCUUCUUUUUUUUUUCAUACUCAUAUCACCUUUUGAAAAUUAGUCUUCAGUUUAGCUUUUGUGCAAUGAAUUCAGAGGUUAGAAGCAAGAUGUUUUGGGAGGUAGGGUGAGGCUCAUCAGUGAGAAUGAAAGCCAAUUUCCUAGACUUGCCUGGGGAAGGUAUAUUAGAACGGGGGCCAUUUGUUCUCAAUGUUCAACUCCCACUUAUGAGUGAGAACAUGCAGUGUUUGGUUUUCUUUUCCUGUGUUAGUUUGCUGAAGAUGAUGGCUUCCAGCUUCAUUCAUAUCCCAGCCAAGGACAUGAUCUCAUUCCUUUUUAUGGCUGCGUAGUAUUCCAUGGUGUAUAUGUACCACAUUUUCUUUAUCCAGUCUAUAAUUGAUGGGCAUUUGGGUUGGUUCCACAAACCUGCACGUUCUGCACAUGUAUCCCAUUUUUUUUUAGAAGAAAUAAAGAAAAAAGAAAAGAAAAGAAAAAAAAGAAUGGGGACCAUUUAUCUUGGAUGGCCAGAGGUUUGGUAGACAUCCUCAAGUUUAGACAGGCCUUAGAGUUCAGAUGAAAAAGGAGUGUAUCUUCAUAUUAGAGGCUCAGUUUGGACAAGGGAAAUUUCAGUGUGUGUGUGUGUGUGUGUGUGUGUGUUUAAAAUUUGUGAAAUUUGAUCUUACAGUCACUGGGAGAAGGCAGAAAUUUUGAGGAAAAGGAGUCCUCAAUAAAGC